GCUGGCGGAGCGGCUGGGCGGCGGGCCGGGCCCGGGGCCGCUUGGAAUGGCGCCUCCUCCGCCUUCGCCCCAACUGCUUCUCCUGGCAGCCCUCGCGAGGCUCCUGGGUCCCAGCGAGGUAAGGUGACCCGCUCCUGGGAAGGCCUCGGCCCGCGAGCUCAAAGCGCUUUGCCAAAAGUUCGUCCUGGAAGGAGUGGCGCGCCGAGGGGGACGCGGAGUUCUUCCGCUGGCGGGCUGGGCCUGGGGAGAGAGAGGGCAGGGCCUCGCCGCGUCCAGCGCCCCAACUCUUCGCUUUGGACCCACAGGUGAUGGCUGGACCGGCGGAGGAGGCGGGAGCCCAUUGUCCCGAGAGCCUGUGGCCUCUGCCUCCGCAGGUAGGAGCCCUGGAGGGCCCAGGGAGAGAGGGAUGUGAAAGGCUAGCCCAGUCCCGCUCUGUUCUCGCCGCACCCUCCACAGUCACCAUCUGAGGACCUCUGCCGGUUCCUCAGUCCUCAGUAGCCAACUUCUCCAUCCCAGCCUGGCGCUUGGGGCCUGCCGUCCCCUCCCCACCACACACACACGGAGUCCCCCAACUGCCCUAAGCUCUGUUCUUUCCCCAUGUAUAGGUGUCACCAAGAGUGACCUACACACGAGUGAGCCCAGGGCAGGUGAGUACAAGCAGGGGCCCACCACCCUUGGUGUCCACGCCUGGAGACAGGCGCUCCUAGCAGGCUUCGCUGCCUGUUCUGCUGAUCGGCCCCAUUCCUUACCACUUCCCUCAGGCAGAGGCAGGGUUCUAGUUCUCUGCCCCACCUCCAAGCCCAGGACAGAUCAGCCCCAGGACAGAUGGCUCAAAGACAGUGAGCCAUAGGCCUGUCAUCUGCAAUGCUGUGUCAGGAUGCUGUUGGGUAGCUGGCUCUGUGGACAAGUGGCUGUGAGUGGAACUCUCUCUGAGAGUAGCUGGAAAAAACCCAGGCUCCAGCUCCCUGAGGAGACAGCGGGAAGUCUCCUGACUUUGUGGGCCCCAGCUUUCUGUAGGAGAGGGUAUUAAUUCUGUCUCUACCUGUGAGCAGCGAGGGAGGGUAUGUGCCAGCACCGUGUACAGUACAGAGCUGCAUCGUGCAAGGAGUGUGCCUCCAGUUGCCAGGCUCCACACUGCGGGCUCAGCUUGCGUGGUAGCAUCUCCAUCUUCAUCGCCAGCUCCUCUGAAUUUUCCUUUGAAAUACUUAUUAUUAUUAUUAUUUGAAAUGGAAUCUCACUCUGUUGCCCAGGCAGAGGUUGCAGUGAGCCGAGACCAUGCCACUGCACUCCAGCCUGGCGACAGAGCGAGACUGUCUCAAAAAAAAAAAAAAA
rnacentral:lncRNA from 1 species